rnacentral:lncRNA from 9 species
AAGAACAUUGGGAUUAACCUCUUCGGUGCCUCUAAAUCAUAUGGAGAACAUGUUUAGUAUUUCAGGGAUCUAACAGAAAGCUUCUCUGAGAGUCAUUUGAGUGAGAAUUAAUCCGGCAGAAGAACAGAGUGUUUCCAGCUCCCAUUUCACUGGACAUGACAAACCCUCUGUGAACUGUCUCUUCCUGCACAGCCUUAGCAAUCUCAGACUUGAAAAAGAGGACAGACAUGUUUGUGCCUGGAAACUUUUUCCUUAAAUAUGUUUAACAAACAACUUACCUGCCUGCCUUUGGCUCUCCAUCCUUUUAUUGAUGAUAUCUUGUAAACACAUUUCUCUGAGAUUCGAUAAGACCUGAAACAGGGCUGAAGUUCAGUGUGUGCACUUUUCUUUUUACCUUUCUCAAACUCUCAAAAUGCUCCUGACACUUCAGCAUGUAUUCUCUUAUUUUAGUUGGGCACAUAUAAAUCCUUCUCCUAAAAAUAACUCAAACUCAGUGGGCUGAUCCACUUAGUUGUAAAUUUUGGCCUGUACCUUCAGAAUCACCCUUGGACAAAUUUUAGCGUUUUUUGUGUUUUUCCCAAGUGUGGUUGUAGGGUCAUCCACAGCCAUCAGAACCUGUUUUUUGUUUUUCUGUGUUUCAGAAUUCUCUGUGAUAAACAUCUGUUGACUGACUUCCUAAGUUUCUUUCAGCUUUGAGGAAUGAUGUUUAAGAGAACAUUUCCAGCAUUAGACCUAUGGAAGGUGAUUGAUGUAUGGGCAUCUGAGAUGGAAGAUUACAAACGUGUGACUGCCACGCUCAAGGCAAGUUAUGUUACGUAAACAGCCUGGACUAACAAAGGCUCACUGUGCUUUACAUGAUGAAGAAGGCAUGCAUUUCUGCACGUUCUGCUAAUACAAAAUGAUGUGAUUUUCAAAAGAUAAAAAUGUAUUUACCUUUGGCAGGCUUUGGCAUGCAUGGGUAUCAUUUUGACAUUACUUCUGUGCAAUGGAAAUGUUGAAGGAGAAUCAGAGGCUUGUGUUAAGAAACAUAUGUACAAUCUGAAAAUUCCUCCUU